UACGUAGGCAGCGAGCGUUGUUCGGAGUUACUGGGCGUAAAGGGUGUGUAGGCGGUUGUUUAAGUUUGGUGUGAAAUCUCCCGGCUCAACUGGGAGGGUGCGCCGAAUACUGAAUGACUUCGAGUGACGGGAGAGGUAGAGUGGAAUUCCUGGUGUAGCGGUGAAAUGCGUAGAUAAUCAGGAGGAACACCGGUGGUGUAGACGGCUCACUGGACCGUAACUGACGCUGAGACACGAAAGCGUGGGGAGCAAACAGG
rnacentral:rRNA from 1 species